UACGGAGGGGGCUAGCGUUGUUCGGAAUUACUGGGCGUAAAGCGCACGUAGGCGGCUUUGUAAGUUAGAGGUGAAAGCCCGGGGCUCGACUCCGGAAUUGCCUUUAAGACUGCAUCGCUAGAAUUGUGGAGAGGUAAGUGGAAUUCCGAGUGUAGAGGUGAAAUUCGUAGAUAUUCGGAAGAACACCAGUGGCGAAGGCGACUUACUGGACACAUAUUGACGCUGAGGUGCGAAAGCGUGGGGAGCAAACAGG
rnacentral:rRNA from 1 species